GAGGGUAUAGCUCAGUGGGAGAGAGAGUGCUUAGCAUGCACAAGGUCCUGGGUUCAAUCCCGGGUACCUCCA
rfam:Camelus ferus unplaced genomic scaffold scaffold1108, whole genome shotgun sequence.